rnacentral:tRNA from 1 species
GCUGCGGUGGUCUAGUGGUUAGGACGGUAGAUUGUGGCUCUGCCACCCCGGGUUCAACUCCCGGUCGCGGCCCC